rnacentral:rRNA from 1 species
AUCAGGGGUAAACCUGUGGAACUCGAACGAGCGAACGGGGAGAUUCAUCGUUCUCCGUCGGGUCCGCGCAGGGRCGUUGACGUCGUGCACUCGUGUACGGCGCUCGUYUCGGUGCGAGGUUCGGCGGAGUGCGUGCACUCCUCCCUUAGUAAAACACCGCGACCCGUUGCGCGCGGGUCGAACGCGCCGUGCGAUCGUCCCAUUCUGAUUCGUCAGAGUGGAAUCGCGGCGUCGCGGCUCGCGUGCGACGGUAACGAACGAGGUUCGCGUCCGCCUUUGGCGUCCGCGUUGCGGCGGUCGUUUCCCYCGGCCGGUCUCGGCGCGCAAGCGUCGCGGCCGACGRGCGGAAACCGCGUCUGCUGCAUCGGCUCGGACGGGACGCGUCCCGGUCAGCGGUGGUUUGUUUCGGGCACUCACAGGACCC